CCCUUAGAUGUUCUGGGCCGCACGCGCGCUACACUGACGCAUUCAACGAGUCUAAAACCUGCUCUGAUAGGGGUGGGUAAUCUUUUGAAUGUGCAUCGUGAUUGGGAUAGAUGAUUGCAAUUUUUCAUCUUCAACGAGGAAUGCCUAGUAAACGCAAGUCAUCAGCUUGCAUUGAUUACGUCCCUGCCCUUUGUACACACCGCCCGUCGCUCCUACCGAUUGAAUGAUCCGAUGAAUAUCAUGGAUUGAGGAUGCAAGCAGGUUCGCCUGUCUUCAUCUUCGAGAAGUGAAGUAAAUCUUAUCAUUUAGAGGAAGGAGAAGUCGUAACA
rnacentral:rRNA from 1 species